GACUUAGCAACUGAACGGCAACAGUCAUGUAUAAAGUGGGACUGGAGCUCAGGUGAGUAGCAGAUGAUGGAGACAGAGAUUGGAGGGUCUCUGGCUCAAAGGUGAGAGCUGAGGUCAUCGGAGUGGAUGAAAUCGAUCUGGACAAGUAUAUCAUGAAACAAAACAGCCGAAGACAGACUCUCAGGUUGGCAUGUCGGUUAAACCAAAUGCAGCCCAGCACAAAGGUUCUUACCUGCCAACUGCUGUCAGCGUCAUCUGGUGACCCUUCCUACAAACAGACCAUCUGACCUAGGGAUGAUCACACCGAACAGACACCACAGAGCUUCAUAAGAGCCACAUCCAGGUCCACAGAUCGUCCCCAGCUGAGAGUACUUUCCCGAUGUCAGUGACCAGCAGGUCUGCCACCAAUGUCCAGCAAGAACCCCUGCUCAUCAACCGCAACUAAUAUGGUGCCCAUUGACGCUUCAGUGGGAUAAACCCAUCUGGAGUCCAUAGUUCAGCCAGGCCCGCUGUACAAUCAACCGCUUAUGGACAACUUUCACCUCAAAGGCUAACAAUGGUUGAGUCUCCCCCAGUAACGAGGGUGGCAUGCCAGACAAGUAUAGAAAGAAGGAAGGGGAAGAAGGGGAACUAAAGGAAGAAGGAAAGAACUCCAUCUCAGUGCUGGUAUUUGGUUCAGCACUAAAUUAAACCAGCCCAGAAUCUCGCCCAGAUAGCAGUGAAACACGGUCUCGAUACAGCAUCAUUGUGCUUGUGAAAUAAGAAUCAUUAUAAGCACCAAUACACUCGAUUUCUUUCACUUCCCUUUUUCCGUGCACAUCUCACCUCCUUAAAAUUGAGUCCUUAUAAUGUGCCUGUGUCCAAAGUCACAGAAUUAGGGCAGAAAACCAGGAAACUAUGGUAGGAGCAUCAAAACACAAGCUGGAUUAGGGAGACGCCUUAAAAUUGAAAAAACUCUGAACACUGACCAUUCAGUUUCAUCUUUUAAUCAAAAGGAGACAAAUGGGAGGGUCCACAUGUGACAAUACCUCCCCCCUCAGAGAAGAGGCCCUUUAUCGAGGGUUAGUCCAAGGUUCUACUCUCCCGUCUUAUUUU
rnacentral:lncRNA from 1 species